rfam:Tetrasphaera japonica T1-X7 genomic scaffold, 1540_scaffold1
GACCACCAGGUGCCUGACCCCUGACACAGGACGGAAACGGGGAAACCAAUUCCAGUCGUACGCCGCGCGCGUAUCGACUUGGGGUGAAGCGAGAGCAGCGACCGCUGCGAUUCUCGCCGGGCACUUUCCCGCCCGAACCCGACAGCUCACCUCGUAGGCCUAGGGAAAGGUUCA